rnacentral:lncRNA from 1 species
ACUCCUACGUGGAUGACGCGGGACGGCAGCAGGAGCGUCGGGGCACCUACAGGUCUGUCCCGUCAGGCUUCACCACCGCCGCUAGAAUAGAGCUGUCCGGCCUCACGCCUACCAUGCUGGGGGCUGAUGUGUUCGGUAACACGUACCUGUAUCCUAUAUACAAGGACGAGUCUGGCAUGGAAGUGUACGUUUCGUGUACCUCGUACGGACUCGUGCACUCCGAGCGUGUGUACGGACUUU